rnacentral:rRNA from 1 species
CCUACGGGAGGCAGCAGUGGGGAAUAUUGCACAAUGGGCGAAAGCCUGAUGCAGCGACGCCGCGUGAGGGAUGGAGGCCUUCGGGUUGUAAACCUCUUUCGCCCAUGGUCAAGCCGCAGCUUUGGGUUGUGGUGAGGGUAGUGGGUAAAGAAGCGCCGGCUAACUACGUGCCAGCAGCCGCGGUAAUACGUAGGGCGCGAGCGUUGUCCGGAAUUAUUGGGCGUAAAGGGCUUGUAGGCGGUUGGUCGCGUCUGCCGUGAAAUCCUCUGGCUUAACUGGGGGCGUGCGGUGGGUACGGGUCGGCUGGAGUGCGGCAGGGGAGGCUGGAACUCCUGGUGUAGCGGUGGAAUGCGCAGAUAUCAGGAGGAACACCGGUGGCGAAGGCGGGUCUCUGGGCCGUUACUGACGCUGAGGAGCGAAAGCGUGGGGAGCGAACAGGAUUAGAUACCCCGGUAGUC